UACGUAGGGUGCAAGCGUUAAUCGGAAUUACUGGGCGUAAAGCGUGCGCAGGCGGUUUUGUAAGUUUGUCGUGAAAUCCCCGGGCUCAACCCGGGAACUGCGUCCGAUACUGGAAGGCUUGAAUCCGGGAGAGGGAUGCGGAAUUCCAGGUGUAGCGGUGAAAUGCGUAGAUAUCUGGAGGAACACCGGUGGCGAAGGCGGCAUCCUGGACCGGUAUUGACGCGUGAGGCGCGAAA
rnacentral:rRNA from 1 species